rnacentral:lncRNA from 1 species
AGCUUGAAGUUGGAAAAUUGGCCUUCCUUCUUCGUAGCUGCUACCGAAGGCAGUUCGUGAAAUGACAUCUCCAGUGAAGCUUUGGAGCUCAGGCCAAACAUCUAACUCAUAACAUGCCUCAGAGCCCGCCAUAUUCUCCCAUCUAUCGAUCAGAUCACUACAGCAAGCAGAGAAUGCCGGCAACAUUCGCUGCAAAAUUGAUGAGGAUAAACAUUUUGGUAUGAAUCAAACUGGAAACAGGACGGAUGGAUGCACUUCCAAGAUGUUCCGUUUGGGUGUUGUGCAGAACAGUGAAUCAAUCACCUUUAGCUUCUCCGCAUGGAAAGCAGGAUUCAGAAUCCUCCUAUGUUUGACCCACUUUUCGCCUUCGUACAGAGCGAGGCCUCUGGCGAAGAACCGGGCGAGGGGGUUCUGGUUCGGCUUCCCGAAGUGGCCGAACUUAUUUGAUAGAACCUCCCUCACCAGCUCCGGAUCCUUGAUGUUCACUUGCGGCACUGGCCCGAACCAUGUGAAUGAUAUCUUACCUGCAUGCACAAGAACAAGAUCGAGUUCUAACAAUUGGAGCUCGUGCCCAGGCGAUGAAGACAACAGAGGAGGAGGAGGAGGAGGAGGAGGAGGAGGAGGAAGCGCUUACCGUACUCGUCCAUGGCGCGAUGAAAAAAAGGGAGAAGGCGAGGGAUGAUGUUGUGGGCGAGGGGCAUGGGCUUGGCGCGGGCCUCCUCUCUCAACCGCACGGUCUCCUUGACGUCGCCGUAGGGGAAGCCGUAUGGGGUGCCGUUGAGCCCCUGUGCCCGGAGCGCGCGCUCCAGCCGCCUCGGCCUCCACCACGCCCAGUUGAGCACCCGCAAGGCCCACGCCAGAAACAGCAGCCCGGCCACGCCCCUUCCCAAGCUCCACAGCACGUCCGCCGCCAGGAACUCGGCCAUGGCCACGGACGAUCGUAUGGGCGGAGCCUCUUGCAAACUGGACUUUAUGGCAACAAAAAGGGCGGAGAGUUCGGGAGAGAUGAUUUCACCGAUUACGUACGAGAGCUUCGUGGCCAUCGACGACGGCCUUCUGUAUGAUUGAAAAUUUACCGACACGUUGUGAUUACGUGAUAUUCAUGUUAUCAUCCAUUUAUAUAUAAAAAUUUAAAGUAAAAAAACAAAAACUUCAUUUUCAUUCAUUAUAAUAAAAAUUAUUAUGAUAAAAUUGAUAAUUAUAAAUUUUAUAUUCUCUAUCGUUUGUCUCUCCGUGAAAGUAUGCUUUGAAGUUUUAGGGUUUGGAGCAUGUCUUUUUAGUCUUUAUGUGCUUUCAGUGUUUUUCGUCUCGUAUCUCUAUAGCAGAUUUUAUCGGUCGUGGGUCGAGUUUUCAUACCCUAUGCAUUUUGGGUACUUUUCUUAGUUUGAUUUUUUGCUAUGGUAGAUUUUUUCUUGUGUAGAGUGGGUUUGCUUGACUCACGUGCCUUGAGCGCCUUCCUGACCCCUUUUUUUGUUAUAGCGAAUUUCUUCUUAUGCGGGUCGGGUAUGCCUUACUCAUUUGCCUUGAGCGCCUUCCUGACCACUAUUGAGUUGUGUUUGCCCGACUCGCGCCUUAGGCAUCUUCCUAGCCCGUUUGUCCGCUAUAGCGGAGUUCUUAUACGGUUCGGGUUUGCUCGACUCACAUGCUUUGUCGAAAUAAUCCCGAGGAUGUGCUCUAUCUUGGUUGCGGAAGGUGACUUCUUGGAGGAGUGGAAGUCCGCCUUGCCUUGAUUGAGGCCAUGUAGUCAUGGGCUAAAUUCCACAUAUGGUGUGAGGAGUAUUUUUCAUAUCCUCCUCGACUAGCAUUUUAAUAAAUAAAUGUGAGAAAAGAGGAGGGGAGAGAGAGAGGCGGGCAUCUCAAGGGAGACUCCUCGAUUAUCAUUUCAAUGUCGAGGAGAGAGAGGGAUUCCACCAUAUCAUACUUAGUUAGCACCUUAGCGAUGAGGGGAUUACCCCAUAUUCUCCUACAUCUCAAUAGUGGAUAGGACUAUUUUUUUUUUUUUUUUCUGUUUCAGCAUCUCAAUAGCAGAAUUGUGUCCCUUCCAUGUGAUCCUGAAGGGACAUUUAUAUGAAUCCUGGGAGGAGAGGGGUCAUCUUGCAUUUAUAAACAUCUUUUAGCUAGUUUGAUGGGCCUCAAAGCAUCAUUUAAGCUCUAAUCUUGGGAGCCUUCUUCUUGGCUUCAGUUCCAAAAGAGACGAGCCCAUCAUCAAGUCAUCCAAUGCCCGAUCCCUCGCUAGUUGGGUGAAAGAACAAAUAGAAAGCAACUUCAGGCGAGCAUAUCAUUCUUGUGCUAGGCCUCUUAAUAUGGUUAGGAAGGUGUGGUAAUUAGAGUAUUCAAGAUGUCAUUUAGUGACAUCUGACCAUUGAAAACCAUAAUGUGCUCUAUCAUAUUGACAUUACCAUCGAACGUCUCCAAGGAUGAGAGAUGUAAGCUCCCUGAAUGUAAUUUCUCUUGGAUUUUUUGGAUGAACGAGAAUCGAACUUAGGUGGAGUCAACCAAUGCUUCCCAUUUUGAUUGUUGGAGCUCUUAUUGCAUCUCCUCCAAAUGUUAGUCCAUCUACCAUAGUUGGAUCAGUAGGGAGUUAACCAUCAAGUCCAUUGAGUGGGCCUCGGAUUCAAGCAAGGCAGAUUUAGAGUGGUGUGAUCCAUUGAAUUUCAUCGACAGAGAUCGAAGUGCCCCCUUAACUGAUGGUUUAACGAGCCUCAAGCAUUUAUGGGAUGUUGGCACUAUGUCGAGUUAGGGAAUCUUGACAAGGUGCAAAUGGCAGUGGAGCUAGGGACUAUGAUUGAGCUGGUGGCAUUACCUGUUGGGCCAAUUGAGGCAAAAGUGGAGUGAGUAUAUGUAUCAUGCUUGUUAAUGUUUGUAUUUACUGAGUAAGAUUUAAGAACAACUCAAUAGGGCAGAGUAGGUGGCUUAGGUACUAAAGGUCAAUGGCAAAGCCUCUUCGCUCAAGUGUUUAUUGAGAGGAUCGACGAGCGAGCAUUCAUAUGACAUCGAGCCCUCCUUCCAACGCCAAAAAUGUUAUGGGAAGAUGUCAUUGGUGUCUUAGUAAGCCAAACAUGGGUCUAACCCAUGCGUGCAAGAAUGUUCAAAGUGUCACAUCCUGGAUUUUUUUUUUCAUAUCUUUCCAUACAUUUAGGCCAAGUAGAUAAACAUCACUUUAUUCAUCAUUCAUAAACAUUUAUUACAAUUCAUUUAUUUAUUGAAUCAUAAAUAGAAAAGUAAACAUAGUGAUGUUAACUUCAAGAAUCAUCCAAGUGGCUCUACCUAGCGGUAGAGGAAGGUCCGCUCUCCACUGGAAUCCGAUUUAGUACUAGAGGGAGGCUGCUCUGAAAAUCAAAAACAAAGAAAAUUUAGCAACGCUGAGUAGGAACCCCAAAAGUCAACUCAAAAUGUAUACAUGAUCAAAUUUUAAUCAUCCCAUUGGCUUAUAUCAAAUACCUGAAGGAGCACUCUCCCAACAGCGGAUGGAGAUGUUUUAUCCUACGGGAUGAGUUUGUGUUCUCCCAAUAGCGGAUGGAGGCAAACUCAUAUCGCACUUCCAACAGUGGAUGGAGUGGUGUCCUGCACCUACCAAAGUGGGGACACGUUCCUCCCAACAGCGGAUGGAGGAACCGUCCAGCCAGCACGUUUGACGACCCACUAAUCUCCGAAGGGAAUCGCCCUACUUGCCCUCGGUAGGGAAAUAACAUAAUGUCACACUGGUCAUGUCCAUAUCGGGAUGAAAUAACACAUUUAAAAUAUUUCUUUCAAACAUAAUCAAUAUCAAAUAAUACAAAUUAACCCUCAAUUGACUUGAACUCUAGUUCAAUUGAUCCAAUUGAACUCAAUUUACUAGAACGAACUGAUCUCUAAUCCUUAUUUAACUAGUCUAGAACCACCCUAGACUAAUAUAAUUUAGACUAGAUUAUGUUCAAUUUAGGUUAAACAAACUUGAAUAAGUCAAUCAAUUCGAAAUCACCCUGAAUUUAUUUAGACUAAUCAAGUCUAAUUUAGUCCAAUUAAUAUUUGGGCUCAAAUCCAAUAAUAAUAUUGGGCUAGAUUGGGCCAACCCAUCUACUGGUCAUGUGCAUUAUACAUAACUGAGCAUGUAUCACACAAAGCUGGCCCAGCCCUAACCCAUAGACUAGUCAUGUGCGUCGCAUGUGACCGCCCAUGAUGGUUAGGCUGGGUUAGCCUACGGGCCAAGGCCUGACCCAUGGGUUGAGCCUGGCCUACGGGCUGGGCCUGGUCUAUUAACUAGACCUAGCCAAUGGGUUGUGACCUCACCUAUGGGUUGGGCCUGGCUUGUGAGCAAUUUCAGUCCAGACAUUAUCUAAUUUCAUACCGCAACAUAUAUUCAUUAAUAAUAUAAACAAAAACAUAACAAUACAUUAAAAGAUAAACUAGGAGAUAAGCUUUAAUAUAAGGAAAUAAUCUUCUAAAUUUAAAUAGAAAUUAUGCUUUCAAUGCAUAUAAAAUUUUACAUAUUCUAGUCAAAUUUUAAAUCAUUCAGAAUAGCAUAUUUUAAAUUUCAGAUGAAAGAAUAUCACAAAAAAUUUUAGAUAACAUAUUUUAAUCUAACAAGAUUUUAAUCCAGAUAAGAUUAAAGAUAAAUUAUAAUACUUGGAAAUAUCAUAUAAAACAUAUAAAUUUUUAACAUAUUUAAGUCUAAAAUAAAAAUCUUAAUCACGGGUCAAAGAACAUUAUAAAAACUUUAACUGAUUAAUUUAAUAUAAUAAAAAUUUUGACAUUUAAAGAAUUGAUAAAUAUUUUUCAAACUACAAAACUUUCAACAUUCAAAGAAUCAAAAAUAAAAACUAAAAUUUUUAAAUUUAAGAAAGACAAGGAAACCUACCUCUCGUCAAUAGGGUGUAACUCUUCGUUCAUCACGCUGCCAGGCUCAACUAGGUAAGGAGCUCAACUAGGUGAGGAACAAAGGAAAGAAAUUCCUCCCUUAAAUAGGAGGAGGUGAGCCUCUAUUAAAAAAUUUUAUUUUAAUUUUUCAUAUUUAUUUAAUAUAAAUUAUUUUCAUUUAAUAUGCUAAUAAAUAUGAUAUCAUCAUAUUUGGAAUGAUUAAUAAUUAUUUCCUAAUUCGUAUUAACAAACAAAGAAAUAGAUUAAGAUUUCCUUUAAUUAUAAUGGCAAGUAAAGAAAAAAAAAUUAAUUCCUAACUUAAAUAUUUGAUGUGAUUACACAAAGUGUGGUCGGGGUGUCUCAGAAAUAAAAAUAUCUAGCACCCAAGGUAUCACAUGUACAAAGAUCGAAGUCGGAAGACUUAUGGACGAUGAUAUCAUUCCAUCGAAGAAAAAAAACAAUCGUGUCCUCGCAUCACUCACACACAAUGCGAGAAUAUGACUCAAUUAAUUGAUCUAUUUUUUAUAACCUUCAUUAUAAUAUUCUAACCACUCUUUUAUAAACACUAGUAUAAGAAUAAAAAAUAAUAAUAAUAUCAUAAUAAUAUCAAAUUAAGCAUAAUAAAAUCAUUUUUUAAGGAAGGUGAUAAUUUUGGAAAGUAAUCAUCCUCUUUUGAUGAUAUUCUUGAUUCAUAAACUUCUAUUCUUGUAAAUUUGAUUUACAAUCUUCAAUAAGCCAAUUUGAUUCUUUCAUUUUUUUUAUAAAAAAAAUAUUUAUAAAUUAAUUAAAUUUAUUUUAUUAAUAAAUAAAAUGAAUUAUUCGGUUGAGAUAGGUUGGCCAAUUCGAGGAUCAACAUAGCCUUGGUCAAUAAAUUGGGGUGUAAUUAAGUUAUAAUUGGGCUAAACAUAAGUAUUUAUUAGCCCAACACUAAGUGUAGGUUAUAUUGGUUUGUUUUGAGCUCAUAUUGGAUUAGAAGAAUUCUCAACGCUAACAAUACUAUUUGAGCUAAAAACAAUCCCUUCUGCAAACCUCUCUGGAUUGCACGCACUGGCAUCUUCGCUCCAGAUUUCUGGAUCAUGAUGAAUGAGGAUUAUUACGCAGUAGGAGUAGUGCUCCUGGUGGGUGAUUCACAUAGAUUUGUUGUUUCCCUUGUCAGUUCAUCUGAUUAGCAGAAGAACGAAGAAUGAAGAUUGACACUCACAGUCCUCGAGUGGCUCAAGCCAUCGAAAGCUAGCGUGUUUCCUUUAAGUAUAUCAUUUGUUUUCUUUAAGGAAGGGAAUAAUUUUACAAGGUAAUAUUCCUCUAAUUUUAUAAAGAUGAAUCUUCAAUAAACGAAUUUGAUUUCUUUCCUUUUUUUUUUCCUCUUUGACAACUUUUACCUAUCUAAAGUAUUUAUAAACUAAUUAAAUUUAUUUUAUUAAUAAAUCGAUAAAUUUAUUAAUAAAUUUAUCGAUCCACACUGACUUAAAAGAAGAGUACUUCCAAGAUGAAGGUCUCACAACUCUGCAUGUUUUGCAUAUAGACGAUGAAAUCGUUCCAAUUAUAAAACAACUGUGGCCUAGCAUCACUUGUAUACGAUGUGAGAAUACAAUUCAAUUUAUUGAUCCAUUUUUGAUAUUUUUCAUUAUAAUGUUCUAAUUUUUGUUUUAUAAGCUCUAGCAUAAGAAUAAAAAAAAAUAUAUAUAAUCAUAUCAAAUUAAGUAUAUCAUAUUUCUCUUUUUUAGGUAAUAAUUUUGAGUCGAUUCAAAAAGUAAUCUUCCUCUUUUGAUGAUAUUCUUGAUCCAAAACUUCUAUUUUUGAUGAUAUUUUUUAUUCAUAAACUUCUAUUUUUGAUGAUAUUCUUGAUUCAUAAACUUUUAUUUUCGUAGAGUUGAAUCUUCAAUGAACGAAUUUGAUUUCUUUUCCUUUCUUUUUAAUAUUUGCUUUCUGUUUUUUCUCUUUAAAAACUUUUCCCAUGUAAAAUAUUUAUAAACUAAUUAAAUUUAUUUUAUUAAUAAAUCAAAAAAAUGUUCCCAUAAGACACGUCAACUAAGGAUGCAAUUGAGUUGUAAUUGAGCUAACCACAAGGCCAACGCUAAGUGUAGGUUAUAGUGAGUUGGUCUAUCAGUUGUUUUGAGCCUAUACUGAACUUGAAAGAACUAUUAGCGGUGGCAACACUAUUUGGGCUAAAAAAUAAUCUCAUAUUAGUAUUCCCUGAGAUUAAUUAUCACUUGGGAGUAGAGAUUAGUGCGAACCAAUAACUAUUUUAAUUGUCAAGAUUGUCCCUUCACUCCUUCAGUCCUCGUACCAAUAACUAUUUUAAUUAUCAAGAUGGUCCCUUCGCUAACUCGGUUAGCUUAUUCAUUAAUAUAUCCCUUUAAUCUUCUUGUAUCUGGAUGCCCCUCUAUCAUCCGGAGUCUUCUCCCGAACAUUACGAAAGCUACUAUCUUGUCCUUUGAUUCCAAUGAUAUCUUCUUGAUUAAUCGUGAGUUACUCAUAAUCUAGUUAUCAAAUAUAAGAGCAUCAAUUAAUAAUAAAGAAAUAAAUGAAACAGUUAUUAAAACUUACAUACUCAUAAUCUAGUUAUCAAACAGUGUGCUCUAAGCUUUUGCAUAUUCAUAUAGUGUACAGGACUAUAUGUAUAGUCCUGUAGAGUAUUACAUAUUUUGCAUAUACAUAUAGUCUUCAGGACUUUAUGUAUAGUCCCGAAGCAGGGUUCAACUUCACCAUACAUAUUUUGCCAUAUAGUCCUAUAGAGUAUUACAUAUUUUGCAUAUACAUAUAGUCUUCAGGACUUUAUGUAUAGUCCCGAAGCAGGAUUCAACUUCACCAUACAUAUUUUGCCAUAUAGUCCUGUAGAGUAUUACAUAUUUUGCAUAUACAUAUAGUCUUCAGGACUUUAUGUACAGUCCCGAAGCAGGAUUCAACUUUACCAUACAUAUUUUGCCAUAUAGUCCUAUAGACUAUUACAUAUUUUGCAUAUACAUAUAGUCUUCAGGACUUUAUGUAUAGUCCCGAAGCAGGGUUCAACUUCACCAUACAUAUUUUGCCAUAUAGUCCUGUAGAGUAUUACAUAUUUUGCAUAUACAUAUAGUCUUCAGGACUUUAUGUAUAGUCCCGAGGCAGGAUUCAACUUCACCAUACAUAUUUUGCCAUAUAGUCCUGUAGACUAUUACAUAUUUUGCAUAUACAUAUAGUCUUCAGGACUUUAUGUAUAGUCCGGAAGCAGGAUUCAACUUCACCAUACAUAUUUUGCCAUAUAGUCCUGUAGACUAUUUUGCAUAUACAUAUAGUCUUCAGGACUUUAUAUAUAGUUCUGAAGCAGGAUUCAACUUCACCAUACAUAUUUUGCCUGUGAUUUCCUAAGUAGUAGUACUUGAGAGUUUUCGCAACCUUAUUUGAGCACCACGCUGGGGAAAAAGAGUGAAAAUAGUGCGUGGAGCGUGUGCAUACGACGGCGAGAGAUCAAAGUAGAAAUGCUGAAGAAUCAUGCUCAGUCCCAUCUUUGCUUCCAGCAACGAAAAGUUCUGGCCGAUGCAAAUUCGUGGGCCUCCGCCGAACGGGAAGAACGCAACCUGUUCCUUCGACGCCUUUGAGACCCCUUCGGCGAACCUCUCUGGAUUGAACUCACUGGCAUCUUUGCCCCACAGGUUUGGAUCAUGGUGGACGAAGAUUGCAUGCAGCAGGAGGAGAACUCCUGGUGGGUAAACCACAUCUCCAAUUUUCAUCGUCUUGUAUGUCUGCCUCCGGAUGAGAAUAAAUGGAGGGUAUAGCCUGAGCACCUCAUACAGAAUCAUGGUCACCUGCCCACACAAAUUUCAGUCCAUCAAUUGGUGAAAUCUUCAUCAUCUUUCAGUCCAAGAAAGAACAAGAACAGCAUGCUGAUGAAUAGGGUCGAAACAACUAGCAAUCAGAGUGUGUUUAGUUCAGCUAAGCAGAAGAACAAAGUAGGAAGAUGAUACUCAACGAUCUUUAAGUGGCUCAGGCCAUCGAAAUCGGGUUUGUUUUCGCCAAAGACUCGAAGAACUUCUUCUCUAGCGCGGACCUGCCAAGUAGGAUGCAUGCUCAAGCAGAUCAUUGUCCAUGUCAGCAACGCAGAUGUUGUCUCCUGCCCUGCAAAGUAGAAGAGCUUGCAUUCUUCAAUCACAUCUUCGGUUGUCAUCCCGGCAUUCUUGUUCCCAUCUUCUUGCAAGUGCUUCAUGUUGGACUCCAUCAACAGGCCCAACAGGUCAUCGGUGCUUGCCUUUCCAGUCUUUAUAUCCUGUUCUCUCUUCUUUAUUAUGCCUCUCAGAAUCGAUCGGAUCUCUCUAUCAAUUGCUUUUAUUCUCUUGUUCUUUGGGGUGGGAAGAAACCUGUUUGACAGCAAUUAUUAGUAGCCGUAUCCUACGAAUCAUUCGAAAACUCGCAUAAUUUAUGAGCUCAAUACAAUACUGUGAUUAGAAAUGUGUAGCAGCUUCGAAGUCUUUGAGAUGAAGCUUUGAAAUGUGCAAGCAAGGCAUCGAUGGACCACCUACGAUCUCGGAUCAUCAAAUCAAUGAUCCUUUCAACAUAACUAAAUUCUGAUGUUUCUUCCUUUAAAGCUUCGUUCAACAACAUGGAAUUGAGUAGGAGAAGGACUCACCUGUACCCUGGGACAUAAAGAUUUUGGACAACCUGAAUAACGAGCUCAGCCUGCUCAGAUUGAAGUUGGAAAAUUUGCCUUCCUUCUUCGUAGCUACUACCGAAAGCAGUUCGUGAAAUGACAUCUCCACUGAAGCUUUGGAGCUCAGGCCAAACAUCUAACUCAUAACAUGCCUCAGAGCCCGCCAUGUUCUCCCAUCUAUCCAUCAGAUCACUACAGCAAGCAGAGAAUGCCGGCAACAUUCGCUGCAAAAUUGAUGAGGAUAAACAUUUUGGUAUGAAUCAAACUGGAAACAG